UAGGGAAUCUUCCACAAUGGACGCAAGUCUGAUGGAGCAACGCCGCGUGAGUGAAGAAGGUCUUCGGAUCGUAAAGCUCUGUUGUUGGUGAAGAAGGAUAGAGGCAGUAACUGGUCUUUAUUUGACGGUAAUCAACCAGAAAGUCACGGCUAACUACGUGCCAGCAGCCGCGGUAAUACGUAGGUGGCAAGCGUUGUCCGGAUUUAUUGGGCGUAAAGCGAGCGCAGGCGGAAUGAUAAGUCUGAUGUGAAAGCCCACGGCUCAACCGUGGAACUGCAUCGGAAACUGUCAUUCUUGAGUGCAGAAGAGGAGAGUGGAACUCCAUGUGUAGCGGUGGAAUGCGUAGAUAUAUGGAAGAACACCAGUGGCGAAGGCGGCUCUCUGGUCUGCAACUGACGCUGAGGCUCGAAAGCAUGGGUAGCGAACAGGAUUAGAUACCCUGGUAGUCCAUGCCGUAAACGAUGAGCGCUAGGUGUUGGGGACUUUCCGGU
rnacentral:rRNA from 1 species